GCAAGGGGGAGCGAGGAGAAAGGAGGUUCAAGCAAAUUCUCACUCUAAAGGGUAUAAAUUUACUAAGGCAGAUACCAAUAGUAUGUUUAUUUCAUUCCUCAAAAAUAGAUUGCAACUCCAGAGAAGAAAACAAUGAAAAAUUAUCUUUGCGAUAUCAAAUGAAGCUUCACAGUUUAUAUAUACCUAGAUUCUCAGAAAUUUUUCACAAUAAAUUCCUAAAGCAUACCUCUUUCUUUCCAAACAUACAAAAUAUUCAGAAUCCCAUGGGUGGUGAUGGAGAUAUACCUUAUUUUUUAAAUUAAUUCUGGGGACUAGAAAUAAAAAUUAGUGGCUUUCCAGUGUGACAGGGACGAUUCUAUGGAGAGUGUGAUCAGUAAAAAAUGACUGCUCCCCCAGCAGCCAGAAUACUAUGCUCCUUUCCAGAAUACUUCUCUUUAAUAAUGUAUUUAAUAAUGUGACUCUUCUCUUACUGCAUUUUCCCUGCCAGAUUAUGAGCUCCUUGAGGACAGAAACUGCCUAACUUGUUCAUCACUGUACUGCUGCACCAAGGGCAGUGAUGAGCUGAUGGUAGAUGUUGGCUGAGUGGGUGGAUGGCUAGAUGGACGAUGCCAUCCUGUGGGGCGAAAGGUACAUCGAUGAAUAACAUAGUUACCUUAGGGCCUGCUAGGCACCCUGGGAUUUGCUGUGAGCUGCCCAAGGCACUAGCAUUGCCAUCGUGAAUGUGUGCUUGUGACUUGAAGACCCAGUCUGUAGCUUGAAGUGAAUACCAUUAGUGUUUCCUGACUCUUCCCCCAGAACUCAUCCACACACCAAUGGGAAUAAACCUGUACCCCUUGGGACCUGGGGCCUUCAAAAUCUCAUUCUAAUGUUUGUGCAUUUUAUGAAAAAAUUGAUAUUUUCCUAAGACACCCAUUUUUUGUCUUCAUACAAAAUUCUUUUCCCAUCCUUCAGAUUGUGCAUUGUUAACAAGUCUAUGGCUUGUGGUAUGCCUGGCAAAACUCUGGCAUGACCCAGGGAGUCCCUGUACCCUUCUUGAGAAUCACAGGAUGAAGAUCUUGUCCACAAGAUACUACUGCUAACAUGGAAAUAUUGUAGUUGGGAGAGGUAAUCUUAACCACCACUAAUAUAGAUUCUCUAUAUUUGAUUCCCAUUUUUCACUCAGCAAAGAACAGCCCCCUGACUGAGAAUGGGACAGAUGGGAGGGUUUGAUCAUAGGAAGAGGAAAAUCAUCCAGAACUGCCUAGAAGUGAAGGUCUGAUCAGGUCAGCCUACUGGUCCAAGAUGGCAGCAAAUUGGGGAAGACAAGAUGGAGACAUUGGACAAAGAGGAAGAAACCAGAACUGGGAUGAAAGGAGCCCUUUGCUGAGGCUAUUCAAGGCAAUGGGAUGACCACCAAAGAGAUGACUUUGGUUAUGUGCUCCUCCCAAGGGGUAAGCGCUGGAAGAUGACAAGAGAGAAGGAAGCCCCUAGAGAUCGCCCUGGAACCAAACCACCCUAAAUGGAGCCGGGAGGUCUGUCAAUUCCCAGAGAGCAACGAGGAAAUGAGAGAAGAGGGGAACCCAGAGCUCUGGGCACGGGUGUGGCCUAGGAGUAGAGUCACCUGAAGUGGCAGAGGCUGAACUUUGGCAGAUUGCGUGCCAGUUCCUCAGCUCCAUAUUCAUCCUUCAUUGCCUGAGCUUCAAAAAUGGACUGGUACCCUGUAGCUGUCCCCAUAGUAAGUUUUGUCAAUAGAGGAUGCUGGACAGACCCUGCAGGAGGAAGGGGACUUCCGCCCUGGCUCCCUUAUGCUUGUUCAGCAGAUUCCUGCAGCUUACCAGGCUCCCGGCGCACCAGCAGCUUCACCAGUGCCCAGCUCCUGCAGUGCACGGUGGCCAGUAGCUUCCCUGGCACUUCCCUCACAUCCAGUGGUUUUAUAGCAGGGUACCUCUAGUGAGAUAUUGGCCUGUGAUCAGCUUUUCCUGUACCCUAGGAAGCCGAUUUCCAGUAAGUUCUACCGGUGCAGCAUCCCAGAGUCUUCUCUGCCCUCCAGGGAGCCACAUCUGUGCCCUCUUCCAGAGAAUCUGAAUCUCAGCCCUGGGGGCCUCUCCAUCAAGAACUAUGUCUCAUUCCUAUGGGUUGUUGUUCCUCAUCUGCCAUCCCUAAAUUCUUUAGAGUUUCCUUUACUUCUUAGUACUUUAAUCUCUUGUUAUAGUUAAUCAUCUUUAUAUUAUACUUUCUCUAUCCAAAUUACUGUGUAGAUUCUCCCUUUUGACCGGAUCCAGAGUAAUAGGGGUUGCAGAUGUCCUUGGGUCAAAUUCACAAAAAGUCAAUGACACUUUAGUGUAAAAUAGCUUAUUUUGUUUUUCUAGCAUCUAGAGAGCAGUAGGUGCCUUGGAGCUGAGAGAAAAGACAAUAAGAAGAAAGACCCAGAGUGGAUAUUGGAAAAAUCCUAGUGACAGACUUUGCCUGUUUCACAGUUUUGCCAUGGGCUGGCUAUAGCUGUUAAGUGUUAAUCUUCAUUUCAGUGCAAAACAUCUUUGGUUCCUAGGGUCAGCCUAACCAUACCAGAAAGAAAU
ensembl:lncRNA